rnacentral:rRNA from 1 species
UACGGAGGGUGCGAGCGUUAAUCGGAAUUACUGGGCGUAAAGCGCACGCAGGCGGUCUGUUAAGCAAGAUGUGAAAGCCCCGGGCUCAACCUGGGAACUGCAUUUUGAACUGGCAGACUAGAUCUUGGAGAGGGGAGUGGAAUUCCAGGUGUAGCGGUGAAAUGCGUAGAGAUCUGGAGGAACAUCAGUGGCGAAGGCGGACUCCCUGGCCAAAGACUGACGCUCAUGUGCGAAAAGUGUGGGUAGCACGAAGG